rnacentral:lncRNA from 1 species
UCUUUGUUGGGAGAUCCAAUGUUUUCUCAAGUGCAGAUUGAAUAAAUUGAGCAGUUCAAACUUCUGGCCUUUUUACUGUAGUAAUUAUAUAGUCAGAUCCCAUUCUUUUUGAAGCAGCGAGCAUAUGUUAUCUGUAGAUUUCUUUGGUCACGGCGUCUUCUGUAAUAUUAUUGUCUUGUGUAAUAUCAUCUCCUGUAUUGUUGAACCAACGCACAUGAGCUGUUUUUUGGUUUCACUUCCCGGAACUGUUAGCAAGAGCAUUCUAGGCCAAGAUGCUCGAACACGCUGGUUGUAUCUACUUUUGUGUAUGAAUAAAGAUGGGGCAAUAAACUGUGCUGGACUGCACGUGCUGGUGUACAUCGUCAACUACACGGGUUCUGUCUGUAACCUCUAGCUUGUAAUUAUUUUCUCUUGGUACUUCUUUACUUUUCUGAGAAGAGGAGCCUUGCCUUUUUUUUGUGUGGGUAAGAGGAGCCUUGGCGUUGGCGCAGUGGUAAAUCUGCUGCCUUGUGACCAUGUCACGGACUCAUGGGUUCAAGUCCUGAAAAACAGCCUCUUAAAAUGUAAGGAAUGGCUGCGUACAAUAGACCCAAAGUGGUUGGAGCCUGCACAAGCGGGAGCUACAUGCACUGGGCUGUCUUUGCUUUACUUUUUUGAAACUUUAAUUAUUUUCUCUUCCUAUUUCUUUACUUUUCUGAAACUUGAAACGCACAGUAACUUGAUUGCCGUGUGCAUGAGAAAGUUGCAGUGGAGACUAUUUUACCAGGGGUUGCAAGUUGCGCCGAACUAAGCGUAGAGAAAGAGCAAAGUGUAGUCAUUUUGGUUUGCCUCAUCUUUUUAACGUCGCUCGUUUCAUUGACUUUGAAUGAUCGCUUUUGAACGGUUGUUCAAACUUGGUUUGGUACUGGGAUAUGCUUAAAUUUCAUUAGUGCCUUUCUGUUAACUUUGUAGAGUACUUGGUUUUGUAGCUGCACAAUAGAUUCUUUCGACCGAGUGUUAUAUGUGGAAUUUUGAAGUAGAAAGAAAAUGGGGGGAGCAGAGUCACUUAUGACUGCCUAGUGGGCGGCUCCUGAGAGGCUGAGCCAUAAGCAAAUCGAAAUUAAGAAUUUGGAUGCCGUUGAUCUUGGACAUAUUUAAUUAAACUACUACCGGCGGCCUGUGUCGGUGGAUCACGUGCAUGGUCGGCAUUGUCAACUACUCCCUCUGUUCCAUAAUGCAAGACGACUAGUGUUAAAAAACAUCCUAUAUUAUGAGAUGGAGAAAGUACGAAGUUGGAAGUGCGGGAAGAAAUAAAUACUCUCUUUGUCCCACUAAUGUCAAGAGUACUGUCAAGCGUGAUUAGGCGCAUGGCGAAAGCAAAGAGGGAUAGUUGUUUUGUACAACCUUCGUCCAGAACUAACUAUCGUUGAAAUGAAUUGUAGGCACUCGUUUCAGUAACAAAUUAAUUCAAAAGGAGGAAGUAUUUCAUAUUGUCAAAAGAACUGUUCAAGAAGGUAAAGUGCCACCUAAUACGUACAGUUGAGAAUAAAGAAAGUCUUUGACGACUGACGAGCUUAUAAAGCUCAAAGAGGGUAAAGUGUCUUCCAGCAAAUGCGCCUAAAAAUUUCUUUCUGGUGACUCCAAAAUGAUGAAAGUGAUUUGAGGUUGACGGGAACCAUCCAGUGUAGGUCGGAAUAAGACGGCUCCUCUGUCGGUCGGUGGGGUUUCUAUUUUGAAUUUUGUUCCACACGGCACAUACGAUACGUAAUCCCUUUCCUUUUAUUACGUCGACGAAUCGCGGCCGUUUAUUGGCUCGUUGCAUUGCACCCUUCCGUAGGCCGUAGCUCGGAGUUCCCCACCACCAGGGCAGGCACCACCUCCCCACCCAUAUUUCUCUUCUCGGCACACUACUCCCCCCACUUCUCCCCCGCAUCGCCUCCCCCGACAUGGCGAUCACCGGCGGCCCGCGCGGCCGCCUCCUCCNNNNNNNNNNNNNNNNNNNNNNNNNNNNNNNNNNNNNNNNNNNNNNNNNNNNNNNNNNNNNNNNNNNNNNNNNNNNNNNNNNNNNNNNNNNNNNNNNNNNNNNNNNNNNNNNNNNNNNNNNNNNNNNNNNNNNNNNNNNNNNNNNNNNNNNNNNNNNNNNNNNNNNNNNNNNNNNNNNNNNNNNNNNNNNNNNNNNNNNNNNNNNNNNNNNNNNNNNNNNNNNNNNNNNNNNNNNNNNNNNNNNNNNNNNNNNNNNNNNNNNNNNNNNNNNNNNNNNNNNNNNNNNNNNNNNNNNNNNNNNNNNNNNNNNNNNNNNNNNNNNNNNNNNNNNNNNNNNNNNNNNNNNNNNNNNNNNNNNNNNNNNNNNNNNNNNNNNNNNNNNNNNNNNNNNNNNNNNNNNNNNNNNNNNNNNNNNNNNNNNNNNNNNNNNNNNNNGUCUCCACCCCCGCCCGCGCCUUCUACCUCCCCGGCGUCGCCCCCCGCGACUUCCAGAAGGUGAGCAAUCCGCCCCCCGCCCUCUCCUCGUCGGAUCUAAGCUCUAGGUGGCCUCCCGACCGUACGCGCCGGUGGAUCUAGCCUUACCGGGAGCCGCGGCCUCAGAUCUGGCUUCCCAGACCUCGUUUCCCCGUGUUCGGAGGGUCUCCGCGCAUUUGGAGGAUUAUUAGCGUCUGUGGUUCAGGGUUUAGUGACCUGAGCAAUGGAGGUGGAGAGCGGAAUGUCUGGAUUUUAUGCUGGCUUGCGUGUGCGUUUUGCGCGUACCUGCGGAUAGGGUGAAAGCCGUACGUGGCAGCGCCCGCUUGCUUGGCCUUUGAUUGCGUGUGAUUAAUGUUGUCGAGCAUGGUGCAUCGGGGUUAGGCUCCUCGUUCCAUAGGCCGACUCCUGAUGUUGUUUUUAGCUCUCCUUAGCAUGAAUCGCGAUGGUAUUGCACAGUAUAGUGAGAUCCGUUGAUGUGGUGAACUGUAUUUGGUGCAGCGUGUUGGUAUUAUUGUGGGAUGGGUGCGGGUCACACUUCAAAAAGUGUUGAUAAGCAGGGGAUUUUUGGUUUCUGCUUGUUUGAGUUCGUCUAGAGGUGUAGACACGUUAUCGCUUCGCGUCUUGUUUUCAUCGCUGUUUUAUUUAGUCUCUUUUGUACUAUUGGAGAACAUGUAUUUACUGAGUCGUAAACUAUUUGGGCGUUCUGGGUAGAAAAGUCAGUUAGGUACCUAUUGUUGUGUAUGUUGGUGGGUUUCAUGGAGAUUACAACACUGCAAUCACAAACCUUGUGAAAGUGGCAUCAACUGAAGUGUUGGCUCCGUCUAACUUGCUAGGGCCUAAUAUCCUCAUAUGACGGCUGCAAACUACGACAAACAGUCCAUUCUUAAAUUAAAAUGUUUGAAACGUCAACAUGCCUUAUGUAGUAUGUUUGUAGAUGUACUAGAGUUGUUGUAUUAGAAUGUCCACAUCAUCUAAAAACAUCAUGCAUAUCCUGAUGUUCCUUUCCGUUAUACUAUCAUAAUAUAGUUUGAUAUAGACAAAUAGUCUCCUUACCCAUUUUAAGCUCAUUUGGUUCUCUUGUUUGAAUGAUACUCUGAUGAGAAUCAAAUGUGUAGAAGUAUAUUCUGCAACAGUAACGUUUAUGUUGAAGCCUAUAUGUGUUGCCUAUGUGCUUGGCGAUCUACUUGAAGAAGCCACACCUUAUAGACAAGUGCAUGGUUGUUGUUUCUUGUUGCCUCCUAAGUCCUAACGCAGUUACAAUUUCAGGAGAUCAGGAGAACAGGAUACAUUAUGUAUAACUUAAUUAACACCUGUUAACACUUGCAUGCUGUUUUCCAGUGCCAUUAAAUUGACGUGUUAAUUGAUUUCAUCAUUUACAAGUUGUUGGAGUCCUCUUGUUUAUGGAGCUCCUAUUGUUGUGUUGCGUUGGUGACUGUCAUUUCUUCGGAGAGACAGUUACCAACUUACCAUACCAUACAAUUAUUAAGGCAGUUACAGUUGUAUAACCAAACUUCUAAACCAGAGAUGAUACCCCGCGCGUUGCUGUGGGACUUAGACACAGUUAUUUCUAUGAGAUUUGGCAGUAUGAAACUUCAGUAUUUUGAUUAGCAAUAUGAGAAUUAAAAUAAUAGUACAUACAAUUUACAAUAUCUAGUUAUUAUAUAGUUGUAAAAUAUUUAUUGAGAAUGAGUAGCAUGCAUGGUGCAUGGAGUUUUUUCAUGCAUAGUGACAUGGUGAGUUGGCAUAGUUGCAUAUGGAGAGAAUUAAAUUUAGUUGGGCAUGCAUGAUGGCAUGAUGAGUUGGCAUAGUUGCAGGUUAGGAUAAUUGAGUUAGCGGGGAUCAACUAUUUAGGUAUAUAGAUAUGAUUGUUUGGAAAUUUUAUCCAUAGUUUCCUGUCUAUAUUCUCUGCUUGCUCAAUGGUUUUCAAAGGUUGACUAACCGUUCAUAUUGCAGGAUGAUGAUCUCCAGGUGAAGGUCAACAAGCUGUCAUCUAUAAAGACACAACUUCCAUAUGACUAUUAUUUCCUGGACUACUGCAAACCUGAGGCGAUUAAGAACAGUGCUGAGAACUUAGGGGAAGUCCUUCGUGGGGACCGCAUUGAAAACUCUGUCUAUAAUGUAAGUAUACUACCUGUGUAUUUUGCAUUAAAUACUCUACAAAUGAUUUUUGCCCGUUUGUUCAAGGGUGUACAGAGCACGACAACAUAAUAUGAUAAAUUGUACACUCUUUAACUUAAGUUCAAUUUCCCAACUUUUGCAGUUCAAGAUGAGGAGGGACGAGAGUUGCAAAGUUGUUUGUCGAACAAAGCUGUCUGCAGAAGCUGCAAAGAAUUUCAGAGAGAAGAUCGAUGAUGAAUAUCGAGUGAACAUGUAUGUUCUGAUUUUGAAGUUCCUGUUGUAUUGCCAGUUGAUUAACAUGACCGUUCCCCGCCAAAAAAGGAUUAACAUGACUGUCUAGCCGGCUUACAUAUGAUACUGGUCCAAGUUGUAGAAUUGUGGUUAUGUUCCGCAUAAGCUAUAAUACAGUGCCUGACAAUGUACUUUCCUUCUAUCAGGAUUUUGGAUAAUCUCCCAGUUGUGGUCCCUAGGCAGACACGGGAAGGGAGCCAACCGAUCUUUGAUCAUGGUUACCGCGUUGGCUAUAAGGUGAGCAUCUCACCAAGUCGAUUGCUACUCACUGAAACAUGAAACAUUUAUCAAGGAACUUGUUUAAUUUGAGCACAACAUUGGCAGCUCAAGGAUGACAAGUACUAUAUUAACAAUCACUUGAGCUUUAAAGUCUUGUACCAUGAAGACCUAAACUCCCCAGAGGCUCGUAUUGUUGGCUUCCAUGUGAUUCCUAGCAGGUAUGUUAUGUAUACUCAGUCAUGUCUAACUUAGCAUGCCUCAUGGUCUAAUUGUUCUUUUUUUGUUAUGGGUAUGUGUAGCUGACCAGUCCGAAACCAAUUGAAAUUCUUGUUCAUGUAAUGUUUUGAUCAUUUCAUAAAUAGUUUAAUCUCCAUAGUAAAUGUUCAACAUAGCCAAUAUUUAGAAAUUAGUGCUUGGCUUUUUAUAAAUUUAUAUCUUAUGUGAAGGUACAUGUGCCUAUCAUAACUUGCCUAUUCACUCUCUAUCUUUAUACAGCAUUAAACAUGAAUAUGGUGCCUGGGAUGACAAGAAUCCUACAGUGCAAACCUGCAACGCUAACACGAAGAUAACUCCUGGUAGUCACACACCUCAAGAGGUGGCCCCUGAUGCAUAUGUUGUGUUCUCUUACGACGUUACCUUUGAGGUAUAUUACCUUUUUCAUAUCCUUUGUUGCUGGCAUUCAUGUUCCUGCCGUGCUGAUUAAUUCACAAUUGAUCUUCUGCAGUCUAGUGAGAUCAUAUGGGCAUCUCGCUGGGAUGUCUACCUUCUUUCCAGUGACAGCCAAAUCCACUGGUUCUCGAUCAUUAACUCCUUGAUGAUUGUCCUUUUCCUUUCUGGCAUGAUAGCCAUGAUUAUGAUGAGGACCCUUUACAAGGACAUAGCAAACUAUAAUCAGCUUGACAAUCAGGAGGAGGCCCAGGAAGAAACUGGAUGGAAGUUAGUGCAUGGUGAUGCCUUCAGGCCUCCUGUUCAUUCAGGCCUUCUUUGCGUUUAUGUUGGAACUGGUGUGCAGUUCUUUGGCAUGACAGUGGUAACCAUGAUGUUUGCACUACUUGGAUUCUUAUCCCCUGCGAACCGUGGAGGACUCAUGACUGCUAUGGUCCUUUUGUGGGUUUUCAUGGGUGUAUUGGCGGGUUACACGUCGUCUCGCCUCUACAAGAUGUUCAAGGGCACCGAGUGGAAGAAGAUAACCCUCAAAACUGCCUUCAUGUUUCCUGGUAUAAUCUUUGGGGUCUUUUUCGUCCUGAAUGCCCUUAUCUGGGGUGAGAAAUCAUCUGGUGCAGUUCCUUUUGGGACAAUGUUUGCUCUGGUCCUUCUCUGGUUUGGCAUCUCCGUGCCACUGGUCUUUGUUGGAAGUUUCUUGGGAUUCAAGCAGCCAGCCAUUGAGGACCCAGUCAAGACAAACAAGAUUCCCAGGCAAAUUCCCGAGCAAGCAUGGUACCUGCAGCCAGCUUUCUCGAUACUUGCUGGUGGCAUUUUGCCAUUUGGUGCUGUCUUCAUUGAGCUCUUCUUCAUCCUCACAUCUAUCUGGCUGAACCAGUUCUACUACAUCUUUGGCUUCCUCUUCAUAGUCUUCGUCAUUCUCCUGGUAACCUGUGCUGAGAUCACAAUUGUGCUCUGCUACUUCCAGCUAUGCAGCGAGGACUACCACUGGUGGUGGAGAGCCUACCUGACCGCAGGCUCUUCAGCUCUAUAUCUUUUCGCUUAUGCUAUCUUCUACUUCUUCAACAAGUUGGAGAUCACAAAGCUUGUUUCAGGCAUUCUCUACUUUGGUUACAUGCUGAUCAUUUCUUAUGCCUUCUUUGUCCUGACUGGCACCAUUGGCUUCUAUGCUUGCUUCUGGUUUGUGAGGAAGAUCUAUGCUUCUGUGAAGAUCGACUGAUGUAGCAACUUCCAAGAUAAGUUUCCUGUCUGCUUCUAGAGACUCUCCCGGACAAGGUUUUCUUGCAAUAUCAUACAUGCUGCUGUUCAAGUGACAUAUAUGAAGGAAACUGGGAUUUGAGAUGGGAUUCCAUGGUUUUGGUAGAAUAUGUAGCCUGGUAGGAUUAAGAAUCACCGGAUAUUCACGGAUGUUGAAGAGAGAAUUUGAUACUCGUUGCAGAUUAGCAUGUCUUGUAAUUCUAAAGAUAUUGAGUGCUCCUGUACUGUUUCGGAUCUCAAUUGACCAUGUCUGUUCCAUUUGUGUUUUAUGUCUUACACGCAGUAUGCUGGACAUGGCACUAUUUCUUAGUGCAUAACUUUCUCGUUGGUUGAAUGAUUUCAUUCGAUAGUACCCUGAUGCUGGGCUAAAGGCGUACUGUCUGUUACUCUCUUACUAUGGUAGUAACUGUGUACCUGAAUCUUAAAAUCAUUUUGCCAAUCAAUGAAAAUUUCAGAACAAUUAUCUUUUCAUUAGAAGACGCCACCAGAAAGCAAACUUUUUUAUUUAUCAAUACAACUUUAUUCAGUGAGAAUGUGUAGUGAAAUACAUUUUACGUUUGACAACUACUGAUAUUUGAAGUUCUGACUGGAAGGCCUUUGUUUUGCGCUGCUCACUGACAAAUGACCACGGAUACACUGGAACAGGCAUGCGAGGAGGAGCUUAUCGAUGAGCCGAUGGCGCCGGCGCCGACGAGCCUGGCUUAGCGGGAGUCAGGGCUGCGGCCGUCGUCCUGAUCACCCCGCACAUCAUGGCCUCCCUGGGCACGUCGAGCUCGCGUAUCUUAUGGGCCCCUUCAACGAAGACGGCGCCCAUGCCCAUGUGGAGGUGCGGCUCGAUGUGGCAGUGGAACGCCCACGCGCCCACGUUGUCGGCGACGAACCGGAUCGCCGUCCAGCCGUGCGGGAACACCACCACCGUGUUCCGCAGCGGCGGGUCCUCCGUGUUGAGGCGCUCGCGGCCGCUGGUGUACCGCCCCUCGCCGUACCCCAGCACCCAGAAGUCGUGGCCGUGCAGGUGCCACGGGUGCGUCUCGCUGUCGUUGUCCCUCCGCAUGUCCGCGUUCUGGAGCACCACGUCCACCACGGCGCCGUGCGGCAGCUCGUACACCCGGUCGCUGAGCGUCGUCUCGUAGCUGUUGUUCGCCGGCGGCAGGUCGAUGUCGUAGCCGCCGGGGAACCCGUUGGGCGCCUCGCCGGAGGCGUCGAAGGCGCUGCCCUGCACGCCGUAGAAGUAGGCGCCGAGGUACGGGGUGGCCGGGAGCGUCAGGGACACGUUGUUGACGGCCCACUUCAUGUGCCCGCCCACCAGGGUCUGCGUGUUGAGCAUCACGAUCGUCCGGUUCACCUGCUCGGUCCGCGGCGGCGGCGGCGCCUCGGCGGCGUUCCUCCGGGCAUUGAUCCUGUGGGUGAAGUCCUUGCUGCGCUGCAGGUCGUACCACGCCGGAGUCGCCGGGGGCGGGCUGCCUGGCCACGGGAACCUGCUGUUGGUGUACCUUAGGAUGGCGGUGGCCGGCAGCGUCUUGGGGGGCCGUCCUCUCACGCCGACGGAGAUCCAGAAGGACCCAGACCUGUAGAACGUCGGCGUGUGGUUGGUGGUGAGGAGCACGGAGUAGCUCUCGCCGGAGUAGAUGUCGAUGUCUGGGACGGUGAACGGCUCCACCGGGUUGCCGUCGGCCUCCACCACCGUCAGGUCGUGCUGCAAAAUCACAAAACCCCCACCAUGUCAAUAGUCAACCGAAUAAUUUCUCACCGUGAGAUGUAUGAAAAUCUAUAGUCUUACCCCUUGGACCUGCACGUUGAGGGCGGAGAGUGAGGUGGUGCUGGCGAUCCUGAGCCGGUACGUCCUGCCAGGCUCCACGUCGAACACCACGGGGGCGCACUGGCUCUGCGGGCAGUAGGGCCCGCACUCGCUCCGCCGGAGGCACCUCUCCUCGUCGCCGCACAGCUUGGCCUCCUUGCCCCUCACGCAGGUCCUGGCGCGCCUGUCGAUGCCCCGGUGGAACCUCGUGACCGCGCCCAGCAUGCAGUCGUAUUGCCCUCGCCCGUUGAUGAGGAUCGUCUGGGGCUCGCCGACCCACUGGAAGUGAUCGUACUUUUGCUCCAGCCCGGCCGCCUGCGCGUACACGUUGUCGUGGUACCAGUCGCUGAGCAGCAUGCGGAGCUCGCCGCCGUCGUAGUCCCUCCGGUACGGCUCGUCCUGCUCCGCCGUGGCGUUCACGACGAGCCACCCGUACAGCCCCGCCGCCCGCUGCAUCCCGAAGUGCCCGUGGUAGAAGUAGGUCCCCGGCUGCACAAGCGGACAGAUUCGGUUCAGUUCAGUUCAGUUCCUCGGGCCUUUUCUUCACGUGCCCGGCCAUUCCGGGUACGGGGUUUUGUUCGGUUGCGACGUUGCCUACCUUGUCGGCGACGAACUCGUAGGUGAACGAGUCCCCCGGGCUGAUGGCGCACUGGGAGAUGGACGCCGUCCCGUCCGCCCACGGCGUGCCCACCUGCCGCAUCCCGUGCCAGUGGAUCACCAGCCCCUCCGUGUGCAGCUUGUUGUUGACGGUGAUGCUGAGGGUCUCGCCGGCGCGGGCGGUGAUGUUCGGGCCGGGGAACUUGCCGUUGAUCCCGAUCAUCACCCGCUGCUGGCAGUCCGGCGACCACAGGAUGUACUCCACGUCCCACGUCAUGUUCUGCUUCGCCGGGGUCAGAGCAGGGGCGGGAACGGAGGCUGCGGUGGUCGCCGGAGCAGCCAAGGCCAGGAGAAACGUGCAACACAGCAGCAGAUGCACCAUCAGUGGUGACUCACUACUGCUAGUGUGAGGCCUGGUCAUCGUGGCUUUUCCGCUUUUCGGAGGGGUUGUUGCCGUGGAGGUUCUGCUCUGGGUUGCUGAGCUUUUUAUAGGCGUGAGAAAUGAUCGAGUUGAGGAGGAAAUAUAAAUUGCUAAAUUAUUAGGAAAAUGGGUUGAGCCGUUCCACAUGUUUCCAACCGUUUUUUUGAGAGUUAUAAAUCUUUGCAAACAACAAGUAACUCUAUCCAAUAUAAUUGUAGUUAAUGGUCUGUCUCAAGUAUUUUUUUUAAGUUUGAUCAAGUCUACAAAAAUACUAACACCUAAAACGUCAAAGUAGUCUCGUGAGAUUCUUUAUGAAAUACAUUUCCAUACUAUGCAUAAAAAAUUGCGAACUUUUUCGACACAGUACAACGCAGAUGCCCACCCAACCCCUAUGAGCACCUUCGAGUGACUGAGGUAGCACAAUAUUUUGAGAUUGACGAAGUCACCACAUGUAUCCUCAUAGUCGAGGGAAACAUCUCUCUCACUGAAAUAAACCGAGAAAAAUACGAGCACCAAUGCCAAGUUUAGGACUUAAACCAUGGUGGGUUGGUUUCAUCAGAAGGAACAGAACCAUCUGAGCUACGCUCAUUUUUUCCUAUAGAGUUGAUCAAAAUUAAAUUAAUGCAAUUCAUGUUAUAGAUUAGAGCAUCUCCAACGCUGACCCGCAAAUUUGCUCCGGUAUUCGUCCGCGGACAGGGGGUACCAGUCCGUGGACAUGGAUGCUGGAGCCGGCCAUCCAACGCUGCCCGCAUAUAUUUCAAGCCGGGUUUCGACUUAGCGGACGGAAUUCAUGCAAACUGGUGGAUAUUCAUCAAAGUUCGGAAAACAAAAAACACAAAUCAUCCAUACAUAGCAUGCAAAUAAGUGUAGUACACCAAUGUCUCAAAUUCGAUGUCCAACAAGUUUCAACGGAUCAUGCCAUCUCACACAUACUGCCCCUUCAGCUUUAUUCGAUAGUGUGUGUACGUAAAUGAACAUCCCUCUUUCCUAUGGUACAUCAUGUCAACGCGUACGGGCUACACAAUGUGUAGAGCAACAUCGAGUGAAUGAAUGAUUCAAAGCAUCUUCAGCCGCACCCCCAAUAUGCCCCCCAAGAAGCCAUUUUUUUCGCCAGCGACAAAAAAACCCCAGCCGCCCCCAGGACGCCGAAUUUCGCCGGUUCAGCCCAUUUUUUGGCCCGACGAUCCCAGGCCGAACCCAACGCACGGGGGUGGGGGGGGCACUUGGGGGCUCCGGCGGAAGGAAAGGUGUCGCGUGGGCCACCAUCGUCAGGCGAGAAACGCCUUUUCCCCGCCCAGAUUCGACCCGCCGCCGCAGGACGCCACUUCCUCUUUCGCAACCAUGCCGAUCCGGCGUCGCCCACCUGCCCGCAACCGCUGCUCUGCCGCUAGAAAGCCCAUUUCCCCGCCGGAAAGAGAGGGUUUCGCCGCGACAACCUCCAACCCGCUCCUGGGCGAGCUUUCCAGGGCUCCAACCACUCAGGCAGGGAUACUGGCGGCUACACCCACCACGCCCGCCAGGUGUUCGACGAUUUGCCUGUUCGACAAUGGACUCCAACAACGAGGAGGCAUUCACGGCUCUGAUGAAGGAGGAAGUUGAGGCCGACACUGAUACGUCCAUUUUGCAGCAUGUUUUUAUGUUGAUAUUUAUUGCAUUAUGGUUUGUUAUUUCACAUUAUGGUACAAUACUUAUGCCUUCUCUCUCUUAUUUUACAAGAUUUACAUGAAGAGGGAGAAUGCCGGCAACUGAAAUUCUGGACCAGAAAGGAGCAAAUCUGAGAUAACUAUUCUGCACAACUCCAAAUGUCCCGAAACUUUACGGAGAAUUGUCUUGGAAUAUAUAUAUAUAUAUAUAUUGGGCGAAGAAACAACACAAGGGGACCCGCUAGGUGGCCACAAGCCCAGGGCACGCCCCAUACCCCCAGGGCGCGCCUCCCGAGCUUGUGGGCCCCCUGACCAGCCCACGGUGUCCAUCUUCUGCCAUAUGGAGGGUUUUGACCUAGAAAAAAAA